UAUUUUAUAUGUUAAAGCAUACGAUACUUAAUAUCAUACAGUAAUUCAUAAUUGACUAAAUGCUUCAUUUCCUACAAAACAAACAACUACAGCAUUAGCCUGGAAAUCCAGUCUGACAAUUUCCAACUUUUUUCUACCCACGGUGAGGAUGGUACGCCGGAUAUUGCCAUUUAGUGAUAAGGUAUUUUCCGAAAACGUGUAUAUUUUUCGUCAGCAAGAUUCAACUUUUUUAUGUGUGUUAAUGGCUCGACGAACGAAUUGUAUGUCAUUUUGUUGAACACCACCCAAAUGACAAGCAUAUUAUAGUAUGCAAACGACCAAAACCACAAGAAAGUAAUUUACAAGAUAGCACCAGACAUAUGCGGAGAAAAAAAAAUAGAAAAAAAUGUGUUGCUUCAGAAAAUAUGAAAAUACAUGUUUCAAAAAGGAACCAGCUUACAAAAGGGACCACUUUGCAACAGAAAGAAACCUUUGACUUGGGCAAAUGGUGAGGAGCCUGUUCACUGACGGCAGUUGAAAUGUAUGCUACCUACCACGCCAUCUAGCAGAACUCAACAUUUACAUAAUGCUACCAGUACUAAAAUAUAAUCUAGAAACACAUACAUGGCGGUGUACAUGGAACAUUCAAUGUUACACAGAGUGCAAUUCCAUGGACAGACAAGAUUUUCGGAGAGUAUUGUUAUACAGUCUUUGAAAAAAUAUGACAAAAUAGAUGGAUGAAUAAAUAACCUUUAAUCAGUUUGUUUGCCAAGAAACGUUUUCUUUAACUGAUAUAGUUUCAUAUAGUUCUUGACGUCGCAAAAAGUUUUCAUCGACAACUUGGUUAAUAUGAAGUAUAGUGAAGACUGAAAGUUGUUUAGAAGAACAGGCUUAUAACUCUUCCGGUGAUUUUACAAUUAUACAACUGCUUGCAUAACAGAGACCGCAUUUCUGACGCUAAAUUAAGAGGAAAGAGAAAAGCAAGACAGACGAAUACGUAUUAACAUGAAAAGAAACAGCAAUUUACUGCAUAAAUGUGAUAAGAGUACAUUACUCCCACAUAAGACUGGGCAUCGAUACUGAAAUAGGUUCUGUUGUGACAGAUUUAUUUUACCAAACAUUAUUUGACAAGUGAUAUUGUAAAAGCCAUGUUUUACUUUGAUAAACAACAAACAGUCAUGUACAUUGAAAUAUUUAUUAAACAAACUUGAAAUGUAAACACAAAUUCAUAAAAUAGCAAAGAUCAUAAUAAGAUAGUAGAAGAACUCUUUAAGGUUUCUUUCGUUCUAAUCCUUUCCACCAACUGUACUUGUAAUGUUAGUAUAUAAAUAUAGUUAUAUAUAUUGUUGGGAAUAGAUAUGUUUAAACCAAAGAUCAUAAACAUUUUACAUUCAACAACUUGAAUGCAUGAAAGACAUCGGAAUGAUCUUCAAGUCAGUUCCUGAUCGUUUGUUAUAGUUCAAAGUUGACCUUGACAAUAAAUACUAGUAUCCUA